GUUCUGAUUCAAAUUAUGAUACUUUCCAAUUACAAUUUUGUUUCACAUCGCGGGUAUAAGUUUCAUGUCGGAUAUAGCAGUUCCACAUAUCUACAUAUCUAUUUCAAUUCCGGAACAACAACAUCACAUAUAUCACACAAUCUGCUUCAGAUCUUCACAUCGAGUUAAAUUUGACAUGUUCACUUCUGUCAAGUAUAACAGUUCCAUAUAUCACACAAGUAGGGGGAGCUGUCCAUCUGAUGAGGAAGCAAGGGGUAGGGUGGAGCACAAAUCAUGUACCAUAAAACAAAAAUCAUGAAGUAAACACAGAGAUAGAGAUGUUAGGGGAGUUGUUCUUACCUAGGGGUGGGGAUGGAUGCAUCUGGUCGUGGGCUUCAUGACUCACUAGAUCCGGUGUCGGUCAUGCUUGGAGUCGCCAGAUCCGGGGAUGAUCCUCCUAGUUGACCUGCCGUGGUUGGUGCCCGUUGUGGCUGAACAACGCCGGAGCAGGUCUCCCCAACGCCCACGUCAGUGGAUUCGGCUUCCGUCGGCAUGAUUUGGCGUCUCUCAUCGCUCGUGGAAGCAACCGACGAUGGCGAUCAGCGACCAGCAUGAAGAGAGAGCGAGAGAGCGAGAG
rnacentral:lncRNA from 1 species